GACGAACGCUGGCGGCGUGCUUAACACAUGCAAGUCGAACGCUGAAGCUCAGCUUUUGUUGGGUGGAUGAGUGGCGAACGGGUGAGUAACACGUGAGUAACCUGCCUCCUUCUUUGGGAUAACGCCCGGAAACGGGUGCUAAUACUGGAUAUUCACUGGUCUUCGCAUGGGGGUUGGUGGAAAGGGUUUUUCUGGUGGGGGAUGGGCCCGCGGCCUAUCAGCUUGUUGGUGGGGUGAUGGCCUACCAAGGCUUUGACGGGUAGCCGGCCUGAGAGGGUGACCGGUCACAUUGGGACUGAGAUACGGCCCAGACUCCUACAGGAGGCAGCAGUGGGGAAUAUGGCACAAUGGGCGCAAGCCUGAUGCAGCGACGCCGAGUGAGGGAUGGAGGCUUUCGGGUUGUGAACCUCUUUCGCUCAUGGUCAAGCCGCAACAAUGGUUGUGGUGAGGGUAGUGGGUAAAGAAGCGCCGGCUAACUACGUG
rnacentral:rRNA from 1 species